rnacentral:rRNA from 1 species
GGCGCACGGGUGCGUAACGCGUAUGCAACCUACCUGAUAGAGGGGAAUAGCCCGGGGAAACCCGGAUUAAUACCGCAUAAGCUAGUUAAGUGGCAUCACUUGAUUAGGAAACAUUUAUGGCUAACAGAUGGGCAUGCGUUAGAUUAGCUAGUUGGUGGUGUAACGGACCACCAAGGCGAUGAUCUAUAGGGGUUCUGAGAGGAAGAUCCCCCGCACUGGUACUGAGAUACGGACCAGACUCCUACGGGAGGCAGCAGUAGGGAAUAUUGGGCAAUGCUCGCAAGGGUGACCCAGCCAUGCCGCGUGCAGGAAGAAGGCCUUCUGGGUUGUAAACUGCUUUUGGAAGGGAACAAAAAGACACUGCGGUGUAAAUUGAGUGUACCUUCAGAAUAAGCACCGGCUAACUCCGUGCCAGCAGCCGCGGUAAUACGGAGGGUGCAAGCGUUGUCCGGAUUUAUUGGGUUUAAAGGGUGCGUAGGCGGCUUAUUAAGUCAGGGGUGAAAGACUAUUGCUUAACAAUGGCAGUGCCUUUGAUACUGAUAGGCUUGAGUACAUUUGAGGCAGAUGGAACGGGUGGUGUAGCGGUGAAAUGCAUAGAUACCAUCCAGAACACCGAUUGCGAAGGCAGUCUGCUAUACUGUAACUGACGCUGAGGCACGAAAGCGUGGGGAUCGAACAGGAUUAGAUACCCUGGUAGUCCACGCCGUAAACGAUGAUGACUCGAUGUUAGGGAUAUACUCUUAGCGUCCAAGCGAAAGCGUUAAGUCAUCCACCUGGGGAGUACGCCCGCAAGGGUGAAACUCAAAGGAAUUGACGG